rnacentral:tRNA from 1 species
UCCCUGGUGGCUCAGAUGGUAAAGCGUCUGCCUGAAAUGCGGGAGACCCGGGUUCGAUCCCUGGGUCGGGAA